rnacentral:rRNA from 1 species
GUGAGGAAUAUUGCGCAAUGGACGAAAGUCUGACGUAGCCAUGCCGCGUGAAGGAUUGACGGCCCUAUGGGUUGUAAACUUCUUUUGUAUAGGAAUAAACCCUCGUUCGUGAACGAGGCUGAAGGUACUAUAAGAAUAAGCACCGGCUAACUCCGUGCCAGCAGCCGCGGUAAUACGGAGGGUGCAAGCGUUAUCCGGAUUUAUUGGGUUUAAAGGGUCCGUAGGCGGAUCGUUAAGUCAGUGGUGAAAUCCUACCGCUCAACGGUAGAACUGCCAUUGAUACUGGCGAUCUUGAGUAUGUAUGAAGUUGGCGGAAUGUGUGGUGUAGCGGUGAAAUGCUUAGAUAUCACACAGAACACCGAUUGCGAAGGCAGCUGACUAAUACACAACUGACGCUGAGGGACGAAAGUGUGGGGAUCAAACAGGAUUAGAAACCCCUGUAGUCC